GACGAACGCUGGCGGCGUGCUUAACACAUGCAAGUCGAACGAAGUGGCGAACGGGUGAGUCAUACGUGGGUAACCUGCCCUCCUUUUUGGGAUACGCCUUGGAACCGGGGUCUAAUACCCAAUCACGGGGGAUUGGCUCGCGGCCUUUCAGCGUGUUGGUGGGGUGAUGGCCUACCAAGGCGGUGACGGCUGUCCGGCCUGGGAGGGUGACUGGCACCAUGGGGAUGGAGAUACGGCCCAGACUGCUACGGGAGGCAGCAGUGGGGGAUAGGGCACAAUGGGCGAAAGCCUGAUGCAGGGACGCCGCGUGGGUGAUGAAGGCUUUCGGGUUGUAAACCUGGUGCGCUGUGGAGCGGGUAGGUGGAGAAGAAGCGCCGGCUAACUACGUGCCAGCAGCCGCGGUAAUUC
rnacentral:rRNA from 1 species